GGUUCCGUCCUCCUGGACACGAUGCAGACGAUCCCGGGGAUGUCUCCCGAAGGUGGCCUCUGUCUGCCUUGGUCCCCGAGCAUC
ensembl:misc_RNA